rnacentral:rRNA from 1 species
ACUACUCUUGGCGGUGGAUCACUCGGCUCGU